rnacentral:rRNA from 1 species
UACGUAGGGGGCAAGCGUUGUCCGGAUUUAUUGGGCGUAAAGAGCGUGUAGGCGGCCAGGUAGGUCCGUUGUGAAAACUCGAGGCUCAACCUCGAGACGUCGGCGGAAACCCUCUGGCUAGAGUCCGGGAAGAGGAGAGUGGAAUUCCCGGUGUAGCGGUGAAAUGCGCAGAUAUCGGGAAGAACACCCGUGGCGAAGGCGGUUCUCUGGGACGGUACUGACGCUGGAGACGCGAAAGCGUGGGGAGCGAACAGG